GACGUAGGGCGCGAGCGUUGUCCGGAUUCAUUGGCGUAAAGGGCGCGCAGGCGGCCCGGAAAGUCGGAUGUGAAAACUCGGGGCUCAACCCCGAGCGUGCACCCGAUACUGCCGGGCUUGAGGCAGGUAGGGGAGAUCGGAAUUCCUGGUGUAGCGGUGAAAAUGCGCAGAUAUCAGGAGGAACACCGGUGGCGAAGGCGGAUCUCUGGGCCUGUCCUGACGCUGGAGGCGCGAAAGCUAGGGGAGCGAACAGG
rnacentral:rRNA from 1 species